AAGACACCUGAAACAUCUGCAAAAGAAUUGCUAAAAUCUCCAUGUUGCUUGUGAAUUCUGAAAGUACUUUGGACAAAAUACUGACAAGUCUCUUGUGGAAACCAACCCCGCUCUUCCCAAGAGUUUGACUUAACAGAUCUUUGCACAUAGAGUAUGGUGUGAUUGACCUUAAUUAGCCUUUAACAUAAGAAAUAUUUCUGUAGAUAAGCUCUUGAGUCAAAGGUUCUCACACAUGUUAAUUCUUUGAUUUUCUAGGUUGGGCCGGACACUAAAGGAAGGGUCUCAGCCGUAAAGCACAGCCUUGCAGAGGAAGGGAGAGAAUUGGUACUGAAUCUGGGAUGAAUACCUUUGAAAGCCUUGUUCCUCUGUGAAAUGUGUUAGAAGUUAAGUCUCUGAGACUUGGGAGAUGAAGAGAGAAGGAAGAAAAGGGGAAGAUGAACACAGACACCAGAACAAGUGUGGCAGAUACAUUUUAAUUAAACUCAUGAAAUGAGAUCCUCAUUCUCUGUGUGGCAGUGUCUGCUAACAUCCCACUCCGGCUUCCAGCCCUGCUGAUGGAGGUCUUCACAGACGGAUGAUGCGUUGUGUCCUAUAGAAGCUCACAAAGUUGUCUG
rnacentral:lncRNA from 1 species